UUGAACGCUGGCGGCAUGCCUAACACAUGCAAGUCGAACGGUUAGCAGGCCUUCGGGCGCUGACGAGUGGCGGACGGGUGAGUAAUACAUAGGAAUCUGCCUUUUAGUGGGGGAUAACCCGGAGAAAUCCGGGCUAAUACCGCAUACGCACUACGGUGGAAAGCAGGGGAUCGCAAGACCUUGCGCUAAUAGAUGAGCCUAUGUCGGAUUAGCUUGUUGGUAGGGUAAUGGCCUACCAAGGCGACGAUCCGUAGCUGGUCUGAGAGGACGACCAGCCACACUGGGACUGAGACACGGCCCAGACUCCUACGGGAGGCAGCAGUGGGGAAUAUUGGACAAUGGGGGCAACCCUGAUCCAGCAAUGCCGCGUGUGUGAAG
rnacentral:rRNA from 1 species